GUAAAUUUGUUAGUAUAUAGAGAAGAUAAAAUGAGUCCUAAGAAAAAUAAUUUUGAGGAAUGUUAAGUAGAGUAGAAGAAUUCGAAGUAUGGCUUAAGGCGUUAGUGGAAAAGUAUCGUAAGAGAAAGUUGAAAAUUUGAAAAAUUAAUCGGGUUAAAGUAAAUAUAUAAAGUUGUACCUUGUGUCUCAGGGAUAAUCAAAAUUUUCUUUAUAAUAAAGAAAUCUCGAAACAAAGAUAGCUAAGAAAAAGAUAUUAUUACUGUGGUAAAAUUAUUUAUAACUUUUUCUUAGUAGUGAAAUAUUAGUCGUGCUUUGUUAUAUCUGGUUGUCUUUAAAAUGGAUUUAAUCCAGCUAUAAAUUUUAUUGAAUUUAUAAUAUAAAGUAGGAGGGAAAAGCUUCUUAUUAAAAAUUAUUUAUAGAAAAGUAUAAAAGUUUAAAGUGGACUAGGCUUAAAAGUAGCUAAGUUGACAAAGUGUUUUAGCUGAAGUAAAAAGCUAUAUAAUUUUUUUAUUUUUCUUGAGAUUGGUAGAGGACUAUAAUAAAUAAUUGUAUUUUAAAAGAAAAAAUGGUUAUAUUAGUAUUCUUUUUUUGCUUCUUAAAUAUUAAAAUAAUUAGAAGUAUAUAGGUUAGGGGAGAUACACUAAAGGAAUUCGGCAAAAUUACUUCCGCCUGUUUAUCAAAAACAUGUCUUUAUGGUGUUAAUAUAAAGUCUGGCCUGCCCUCUGAUAUUAAAUUUAAAGGCCGCGGUAUCUUGACCGUGCGAAGGUAGCAUAAUGAUUUGUUCUUUAAUUGGGGACUAGAAUGAAAGGUUGCAUGAGAAGUUAGCUGUCUCUGGUGUAAAUAUUGAAAUUAACUUUUAAGUGAAAAGGCUUAAAUAAGCUAAGGGGACGAUAAGACCCUAUAAAUCUUUACAUUGGCGCUUUAUUUUUGAGCAUUUAAGUGAAGAUUUGAAGGCAAAGUUUGCUAGUGUUUUGUUGGGGCGACAGGAGUAUAAAGGUAACUGCUUUGAAAAUAAAAUUAAAUAUAUUUAAUUUGAAAGAAAGAGAUCCUUCUAUGAGGAUAGCAGAACAAGUUACUUUAGGGAUAACAGCGUAAUUUCUUUUGAGAGUUCUUAUCGAAAAAGAAGAUUGCGACCUCGAUGUUGAAUUAAGGUUCCUCCACGGGGGAGAAGUUGUGAGAGGAGGUCUGUUCGACCUUUAAAUCUUUACAUGAUUUGAGUUCAGACCGGCGUGAGCCAGGUCGGUUUCUAUCUCUUAGAUAUAAAUGGGCUUUCUUAGUACGAAAGGAUUGGAAUGCUGAAAUAGUUUUUAUAAGUGAUUGAAGAA
rnacentral:rRNA from 1 species